rnacentral:lncRNA from 1 species
GUCAUCAAAUUGCCUAGAUCACCAUACGAGAUACGAGCAUACGACAUUCCUGAUGACAUCUUUUUUCUUCUUCGAGACGCUGUCCGAGAAGGUUACCUUUGCCAUUGGAUCAUGGCGGCUUUCUUUCCUGACGUUUUUCGUCAAUGCAUGGUGAAGUCUGAGCUUCUUCAUUGCAUUACGUGCACGUGAUCGCUGCUUUGUCAUGAAGAGGGUCUACUAAUUUGCAAGACAAUUGAGAUGAAAAGAGGAAAUAUGAAAAGCCUGGUGAUGUUCAAGCUUUUCAUUGCGUUACGUGUACGUGAUCGUUGCCGUUUAAUGAAGGUUCUCUAAGAGGGUCUUCGCCCUCAUAGACUUGUUGCAGCGAGCUGGUGAAGGAUGUGGUGAGCUGUUGCAUGACAACCAUGUGCUGGUGUGGGGAAGUGCUGCAUGCUGUCUGUGGUUUCCAUCAUCAGUUAGAUGUUUAAGCUAAUUAUGUUGUUGCUCUGUGUAUACAGUUCAUGUUAAGGUGGUUUUCUUGCAGUGUGGUGGAAGGGAGUCCAAGUUGAGUUGAGCUGCAGCCUUGGAAGCAGUCUACAAUGCUCGUGUUAUUCCGAAAUGUAACAGCAAUGAAGACAUCUUGAAAUGGUCUUGAUGACGGUAAGAUCAUCAAUUUUCUGCAUGCUGUUUUUGUUAUCAAGAAGUGGAGAAGUAAGACUUGAAGCAAAGCUGCAAGAAAAGAAAU